rnacentral:tRNA from 1 species
UUUGAUAUGACAGAUAAAUGUAAUAAAUUUAAGAUUUAUUUAUGAAUUAAAAAUUCUAUCAAAA